CCUACGGGUGGCAGCAGUCGAGAAUCAUUCACAAUGGGGGAAACCCUGAUGGUGCGACGCCGCGUGGGGGAAUGAAGGUCUUCGGAUUGUAAACCCCUGUCAUGUGGGAGCAAAUUAAAAAGAUAGUACCACAAGAGGAAGAGACGGCUAACUCUGUGCCAGCAGCCGCGGUAAUACAGAGGUCUCAAGCGUUGUUCGGAAUCACUGGGCGUAAAGCGUGCGUAGGCUGUUUCGUAAGUCGUGUGUGAAAGGCGCGGGCUCAACCCGCGGACGGCACAUGAUACUGCGAGACUAGAGUAAGGGAGGGGGAACCGGAAUUCCAGGUGUAGGAGUGAAAUGCGUAGAUAUCGAGAGGAACACUCGUGGCGAAGGCGGGUUCCUGGACAUUAACUGACGCUGAGGCACGAAGGCGAGGGGAGCGAAAGGGAUUAGAUACCCCAGUAGUC
rnacentral:rRNA from 1 species